rnacentral:rRNA from 1 species
CCUACGGGGUGCUGCAGUGAGGAAUAUUGGUCAAUGGACGAGAGUCUGAACCAGCCAAGUAGCGUGAAGGGUGACUGCCCUAUGGGUUGUAAACUUCUUUUAUAUGGGAAUAAAACGUUCCACGUGUGGGAUUUUGUAUGUACCAUAUGAAUAAGGAUCGGCUAACUCCGUGCCAGCAGCCGCGGUAAUACGGAGGAUCCGAGCGUUAUCCGGAUUUAUUGGGUUUAAAGGGAGCGUAGGUGGAUUGUUAAGUCAGUUGUGAAAGUUUGCGGCUCAACCGUAAAAUUGCAGUUGAAACUGGCAGUCUUGAGUACAGUAGAGGUGGGCGGAAGUCGUGGUGUAGCGGUGAAAUGCUUAGAUAUCACGAAGAACUCCGAUUGCGAAGGCAGUUCACUGGACUGCAACUGACACUGAGGCUCGAAAGUGUGGGUAUCAAACAGGAUUAGAUACCCUGGUAGUC